rnacentral:rRNA from 1 species
UACGAAGGGGGCGAGCGUUGUUCGGAUUUAUUGGGCGUAAAGAGCGUGUAGGCGGCCAUACAGGUCAGCUGUGAAAACUCGAGGCUCAACCUCGAGACGUCGGUUGAAACCGUAUGGCUAGAGUCCGGAAGAGGAGAGUGGAAUUCCCGGUGUAGCGGUGAAAUGCGCAGAUAUCGGGAAGAACACCCGUGGCGAAGGCGGCUCUCUGGGACGGUACUGACGCUGAGACGCGAAAGCGUGGGGAGCGAACAGG